GCUGGCUGCUGCUGGUGAGAGAGUUUGGAUGCAGACUUCUUGUGCCUGCCUGCCUUGUGCCGGUGGUGGUGAGAUCUCUCCAGUCUCCGCUGCCUUUUUUUUUGCUUUGCAUCCUGCCCCACUACUCACCCUUCUCCAAAUGAUGGGAACAAAAUCCAGCAAGUUUUAGUGGAAGCAAGUAGAACAAAAAUGAAAGGAAAAUGGAAGAAAUUGUUAUGGAAUGGAAAUUGAGAGAUCCCUCCAUCGUUACAGCUGCAGACUUAGUCUUCAAAAUACUUCUACCAAGAGGGUCUUAUGUUUCAAAUGUGAAGCAGUAAUAGCUUCUUGAAAGUGGGAGGGAAGAAAACCAAAGGAAUCUAUUCCGAGGAAAGUGCCCAACUUUGUUGUAGCAAAGACAAAACGUAGAUUUAUUGGAUGGUACUUCAUGCCACAUGAUAUGCAGAAUCCUGAGGAAAGAGUUGCGGCCUGCAAGGACAAGACAGUGGAGUUGAAUCAGCGAGAUCUUCCUUCACAGCCAGCACAGUGGUGAAUACAGCAAGUGCAAAAGCAGAACACCGUUCAUAUACAGCACCAGCAUAUCCGUGAUUCAAAGUGGAAAUUAAGAUAGCUGCCUCUUUCUUAGGAGCAUAAAUUAAAUGUCUAGUCCCAGUGGGAGGGUGUGAUUAUGUACCUACAAAAUAUAAGCCCAGUCAUCGUCAGUAGGGAGGAGGGAUGUGUGUGUGUGUGUGUAUUUUUAACACUUCCUCCCUUUUUGGAUUUGUGUUUUGAUAGACUGCCAGGAUUUCAUAUGCCAUUCUUUCUAGUUAAAGAAAGCAACCCUGUACUGACUUCUGACAUGCCCUCUCCUAUUCCAUCUAUCAGUGGAGCACACUGA